rnacentral:lncRNA from 1 species
GGGCUACCCCGAUGGCCUGGGUGGCUGCAGUAACAGGUCCCUGGAGACAAUGGAGCAGGACGUCAGUGUGGAGUAGUUUAGCGUUGCCUGGCUGGGUCCUCAGGGCCUGCAGGAGGAAGUUCUCCAGAGACGGGCUAGAGCAGGAGAGGAGCAGGGUGGCCAGGCCUUGGAGGUGGGCCUGGGAGAGGAGGACAGGAGAACCGGAUGAAGAGGUGUUGGUGGAGGAGGUCUCGGUGAGGAUCUGUAGAGCUGUGCGUCCGUAGACACUGAGCUCUGCUGCUCUGGAGCUCUUCUCUCCCUCCCUGUCACCCUCCCCCGGGGUGAUGAGGGUCUCCUUGGGGAGGAGGAGAAGGGAAGAGACCAGCUCCUGGAGGAGAGGGGGUUCCAUGUAGGCAUGCAGGGCCAUGAAGGCUCUCACAGGCCGGGACGCCUCGUCGACCUCCCGCCUCUCCCCCAGCUCUCUGAGCAGAGCCCUUGAAACAGCCUUCAGGUAGGGGGAGAGGAGAGAGAGGGAGUCCAGGGGUCGAAGGGCGGCGGCAGAGGUCUGUAAUAGACCCAGGAUGCAGUCAGACAGUUGUGCACAAAGCAGCUUCAGCCUGACAGGGUUGAGGGAGGUAGGAGGGACGGAGGACAACUCCAGAGACAGGAACCACUGCUCCAUACACGGGUGCUUCAGGAUGGAACUCAGCACUGACAACGCCAUCUACACACACAGAUCAGGGAAAAGAUUACAGUAUAUCACAUCACCAGAACAAAACGACAACGAGAAAUAUCCCAAAUCCACCUGGGAUAAGUUACUAAGUUACAGUAAACAAAGAAGAACAAGACUACAACUCUAAAGAUAUCCCUGACGAAGGUCACGGAGUCCUGGUCCUCCUUUUUGAUAUGGCACGAAGAGUUGAAAUUCUGACUACUAUAUAUCUGGUAUACCACCUCCAGUAGAAGGGCUACUGGUCCUACCAGGCUGUGGUUGUCCUCCGCUUCAGAAGACGGGUUGAACUCCAGCAAGAGCUCUGAUCCAUUCAGGAGGUCCACAGCUUUGGGUUCUGCUGCCUUGGCUGGAUCUACUACAGUGGCUGAGUCCUGGUCCAUAGCUAUAGGCUCCGUCUCUGCCGCCACCUUGGGAUCCACAGCCAUGGUUUCUGCCGUCUCCGCUUCCUUCUGAUCAGCCACCAUGGUCUCAGCCUCGGUUUCCAAAGUUGGUUCCUGUGGGCUCUGAAGCCUCAACACCAACCCCUGGAGAAUUCCCAUUAGGACACUGAGCGCCAGCAGCCCUGUGUUUUUAGACAACUGUGGAGAGACAGGAGGAGGCUACGCGUUAGGAGAGAGAGAGACGGGAGGAGGCUACGCGUUAGGAGAGAGAGAGACGGGAGGCGGCUACGCGUUAGGAGAGAGAGAGACGGGAGGCGGCUACGCGUUAGGAGAGAGAGAGACGGGAGGCGGCUACGCGUUAGGAGAGAGAGAGACGGGAGGCGGCUACGCGUUAGGAGAGAGAGACGGGAGGCGGCUACGCGUUAGGAGAGAGAGAGACGGGAGGCGGCUACGCGUUAGGAGAGGUGGAGAGACGGGAGGCGGCUACGCGUUAGGAGAGAGAGACGGGAGGCGGCUACGCGUUAGGAGAGAGAGAGACGGGAGGCGGCUACGCGUUAGGAGAGAGAGAGACGGGAGGCGGCUACGCGUUAGGAGAGAGAGAGACGGGAGGCGGCUACGCGUUAGGAGAGAGAGAGACGGGAGGCGGCUACGCGUUAGGAGAGAGAGACGGGAGGAGGCUACGCGUUAGGAGAGAGAGACGGGAGGAGGCUACGCGUUAG